rnacentral:tRNA from 1 species
GGGCUUGUAGCUCAGGUGGUUAGAGCGCACGCCUGAUAAGCGUGAGGUCGGUGGUUCAAGUCCACCCAGGCCCA